rnacentral:lncRNA from 1 species
UUUUUUUUUUUUUUUGCACAUUUACAUGGGUUGAAGGUAAAUUUUGUUAUAUUUACCAUUAGUUUUAAGUUUUGCUAUUUUCUUAAUAAUAAUUUUAACCUUGUUUUGGUGCAUAUGCCAGAACCCCUUAAAUUAAUCUAUUUUUAAAAUAGAUUUUUAUUUAAGUUUGAUCCAAUUUAUUUUUUAAAAUAUAGAAUGACCAUUGCAUUUUUUUAUUGGCCAAUUUCCAUGUCUUUAAUUAAUAUUAAUUUGAGUUCAUCUAAAAUUUUAAUAAGUCUCAAAUUAAUAGGGUGAGAAUUUGUGAUUAAUUGAAAAUUUCUUAGACGACAAAAAAAAAAAAGAUUGGCCAUUUAUUUUAAGUAUAUAAAUGGCGAUGCAAAUUAAUAUAUACACGUUCAAUAAAAAAUAUAAAGAGAGGAAUUUUCAAAAAUAACAAAUUUUACAAAAUAUUUACAACUUAUAGUAAAUUCUAUAACUAAUAGUCAUUGAUAUGCUAUUGUGAUAGAAGACUAUCGUUGAUAUAAUUCAAAAUUUUGUUUUAACUUGUUAAUAUUUUAAUUUAUUUUUAUAUUUUUAGAAAUGCUCCAAAUAUAAAAAGAGAACUAUGUAAAGAAAUGUCACAAAGUUAGAAAUUAUCUUUUAGGAUGCCUCCAAAAUUUUAAGGAUGCUCUUCGUCCGUGCAUUAUAGAAUGUUCGAAAAUCUGUAGUUGUUGCAUUUUUAUUGGAAAAAAUGUAAAGAAGUAUUAAAUUUUUUUAAAAAAAUUGCAUUUGGUUUUGAGUUAAAAAAGAAGAGGAAAUAAGUAUUAAAUUUAAAAAAUGGUUGGUGUUGAAAUAAGUAUUAAAAUAAAUAAAAUAUUAUAUAUAUAAAAAAUAAGAAAAUUUGUCGAUAAUAGAAAAUUUGACAAAAUAUUUACAUUUUUUUAUGGAAAAUAAGGCUUAAUAAAUUUUAGAAUUUUUUUUAGUGAUUUUUUCUUUGGAGUAACUAGUUUGUUUUUAGUUCUAUUUGUAAAAUAACUCUAUAAAAUAAUAUAAAUAAAAAUUAAGAAAAUAAAACAUAAAAAAUCUCACAAACUCCCCAUUCUUCUAUUUAUUUGAAAAAAAUUUCAACUUGUAUCUUACUAAACUCAAUAAAUAUCACUACUUAUAGACAAUUUGACAAACUCGAUUAUAUUGACUACUACGAGUUUGAUAUCUUCAAUACAUAUAAUAAAAAAAUUGUGAAAUAACACAUGGCACAAUAGGACACCAACCAGAAUGAUAAUUGAUAAUGGAAAACAUUUUUUGUUGUCAGAGACACAAAAUCAAAUAUUUCCACUCAAUCAUAUUUUACUAAAUUGUUUUAGAACUAAUAUUUAAAUAAACAUUUUGGAAAUGUGAAAUAUUCAUUUAAUUUUUAUUUAAAAAGCCAGAUUUUGUUUUUGCUUUUCGAAUACAACUAAGAAUUGAACGAUCGUAUUUAAAAAAAUAUGCAAAUUAUUGAAAGUUAAAAAAAACACAAUAACAAAAAAAACAUAUAACAGAUGUACCAAACCGAAACUCUAAUUUUUUAAACAUUAAACAUUAAAAAUCAAAUAGUUAUUAAACGAUACACAAACAUUUAUUUUUAAUAGUACAAAUUAUAAAGGUACAGUGCAUGUGGAAGUGUGUUGUUUUAAUCGUUGAAUUUUCCAAUACCAUAAAAGAGAAACGCAAUGACACUGGCUGAGUUUUAGUCGUUUCCAAUAAAUAUUACUUUCUUGAAAUCUAUUUUUAUCAUUAAAUUUAAAAUUUAUCAAUGUUACAAUACGUGAAAUCCUAUAGGCUUCUCUAAGUAUUCAACGACCAACGAAAAGCUUACACUCACGAGCACGUGACAUUCUACUUUUAACCUUAAGAGAAUAAACAUACCCAACUAAUUACGACUAAGUUAAAUUUAUUUGACAAGAUACAUAUAAUUCGAACCUUGCUACUAAAAGUAUUAACAAGUUUUUUUUUCAAUAUUGCGCGAAUAAAAAUUUGAACAUGUUUAAACAAUAUAUGUAAAUAAUGUUUUAACCUAUUGAACCAUGCUCAAAUGAAAAGGAAGUAUGAGGUUACAACAAAUUUGACCAACUUUUCGUAUAGCAACAAUAUUAAAGACUUGAUUAUAUCAACUUUUCUAAUGUUUAUAAAAACUUUUUUUUACAUCUCUAAAGAACUUUUUCUUUCAAAUGUGGGGUUAGGGCAAUAUAUUUUUAUAAUGUCGUUUGGUGUGGGUGUAGCUUUCAGUCCUUCUAUCAAAUUGGUUUCUUUGUACGCCAACUUUGACUUAACAAGUCAAGAAUAAAACGAAUUUCAAAAGAAAAAAGGACCAAAUUCCACUUUAAUUAAUUACCUCUAUUCCAACAUAUCAUGUAGAAAUUUUCAUACCAUGAAAAAGAUGUAUUAUAAACUUUGGAAGGGGUUAAGAUUUUAAGAAUCCUAUUUUGUGCAGUUUUGUAUUUGGUUUUUUGUACACCUAAUAUAUGCUCUGUAUUUAUUAUAUUAUCUCAUAAGCUUGGUAUGCGUGAGAGUUAGAGGUCCAAGAAUACAUGUGUAACCCUAAAACUAAUUUUUAGUUAAAAGAAACAAAUUAAUCUAUAUAAUUGACAUUAAAAAGUUUAUUAGUGAUAGAUUUUGGUUUUAAGAAUUAUUGAUAGAAAUUUCUGUUUGACUAACUUCAUCCUUUCCUCCCUCAUUUCAAAUCUCUUUUAUUCUCAAUUUUGAUCACUGACUUUUCUUUUCCUUUCGUAACUUGCUUGUAAGUAGAUUUUUAAAAGUUUUCGUCACCUAAAAUAAUAAAAUAGAGAAAAGCAAAUCAAUGUUUAAAAUUUGAGUGAAAUUAAAGGCUAUGACCUUUCAAAGUUUAAACAUAUAUACAAAAUAGUUUUCAUGUUAUAUUAUAAGUAAAAGUCUUAAAACUUUGUUUAAUAUAUAUAAUUAGUUAACAUGUUAGCUUCAUGAAAAACGUAUAAAAAAUGAAGGAUCAUGAAAUAUUUGGUACAACAAGUCUUGCAUGUAACGAAGAUAAUAUUAUUAUUUGCAAUUGCAUGAAGUUUCACGCAAACUAAGAAAAAAGAAGAACGAAGAAACAAACUCUUGCAUGUCUUUUAGUUUUCUUUUUCUAUUUCCUUGUUUUUGAUUUUUCCUAUACCACAAAGAAGAGAAGUGGAUUUAUUAGAUACUUUAGAAUAUCUCAACUCAAAUACAUCUAGUAGUGAUGCAUUCAUUCAAUAAAAAAUAGCUUUGCACGAAACAAAAAGAGGAAUCUAUAAAGCAAAAUAAUUGAAUCUUGUGCUAAAUGUCACCAUGUGUCCGAGACGAUGCAGAGUGACCAACGUUUUCAAAUUAAAUCGUUAGUUUUAAAUCAAAUCUUGGACUACAAAAAAUGUGUUCUCUCCUCAAGAAUUUUAGAAAAUCGGAUUUUCAAAUUUUCUAGAUUCUGUCUUAGAAUUUUGUUAAAGGAAAAUGAUAUAUAAGUUAAUAUAAAAGAUAGGAAACCUUAUGAAAUGAUUGAUUAAAAUUUGAAUGUUUGAAAAGCAUAAAAAAUAUAUAUAUAACAUUAUAGACAAAUUUUCUAAAUUAUUAAAAAGGAGUUUUUAUUUUAAAACAUAGAGAACUUUAAAUUGGUAGGAUUUUAAAACAUUGAAAAUAUUAAUUAAGAAAUAGUUGAAAUUUUUAUAUAAGAAAAAAUAUGAGGCUUAAUAGAAAAAUUAAAUAAGUAAAAAUAAGGAUAAAUAAGCAUCAUAGAAAAUUAUGCAAAUAUAAAAUAACAUAUUGAGAUUUUAAUAAAAACAUAUGAGUGAUCGAUCUAGAACUUUAAAAGAAUCAAUUCCUUCACCUCAAUAAUUCUAGAAAAUCGAACUCUUAAAUUUUUUAUAUUUCGUUUUCGAAAAUAAAUAUGCUCGAAACAAAAAAUUGUAAAACAUAUAACUUAACGAACUUUUAAAUGUCUCAAGAGAAAUUUAACAUGUAAAUAAAUAUUAAAUUGAACAUGAAAGUAGCCAUUAAUGAAAAAUAUUAUGUAAACAACCAAUAUCAUUUAAAGAAGCAUAACCAUACAUUAAUAAACAUUAAAAAAACACAUUAACAUUCUAUAGAAAAAUGAUUGGAAAUCGAACUUCUAAAGAAUCGACUUCUCACCUUAAAAAUUCUAAAAAAUUGAUCUUCCAAAUUUUGGAGAUUAAGAAAAUUAAAUGUUAACAAAUUUAAACAAUUAUUAGCAAUAACAUAUUAAAUUGACCACAAAACAAGAGUGUAAAAUAUAUUAAAUAACAUAUAAAAGAAGAUAAUAUUAAUUAAAGAAGCAAUAAUCAAUGCCAUAAGAAGAAAAAAAUAAUUAAAUAAAUAAAAGUGCUAAUUACAAAAAAAGUAAUGAUACAAUAUAUAGAAAAUAAAGCUUAAGAAUAAAUUAAAAAAAUAAAAAAGAGAUAAACAACGAGAUAGGAAGAAAUAUGUUAUAAUAUAUAUAUAAGAGAAGUUCAAAAGAUAAUAAAUAAAUAAUUAUAAGAGAAAGAAAAGUAGAUAAAUAAGAACAAGAAAAAUAGAUAAAUAUUUAAUCAUUUAGUUUUUGUUUUGCAUUUCUUUAAAUGGAAGCUUGAAGAAAAAUAAAUAAAGUAAUGAGAAUAGUAAGAAUAAUAAAGAAUAAAGAAUAAAGAACUUUGAAGAAAAAUAAACAAAAUAAUAAGAUGAAGAAAAAGAAAAGAAAAGAAAGAAAGGUUGAAAUCCUAACUCACGUUUUAAACUGUGGAUCAUUUCCACCAAAACUCUACCAUAUACCUACAUUUAAAUUAGAGUUAUAUUUUUAGAAAAUUGUAUCAGAUGACAAGAAAAAAUUAAAAAAAUACAUUCUACAGUACCCUACAUUUAACUAAAAAAUAUUUUAAUUUAUUUUUUGUGUUGCAUCUCCCAUGAUCAAAAAAGAAAGAAUUAUCAAUGGCAAAAAAAAAGCUUCUUCAAAUGGCUAGUUUUUUUUAAUUUGAAAAUAAUACUAAUUUUGACCUACAUCUCAAAAUGGCAUGGAGCCUCUAAUAAACAAAACAAAAUUAAAAAGAUACUAUAUUUAGUAUUUUUCCACCUACUUAAUUAGACUAACUAAUUGAUUUAGUUACUCCAACUAAACAAUUAGUUAAAUAAAUUUAUUUUUUACAAAGUUGGUUAAUCACAAAAUUAAAAAUUUUAGCCAAUUUAAAGCAAACAUUAAUCUAGCAAUUCAUCCAACAAAAUUAGGUGACUGAAAUAAUUUUGGUACCCCAUACUCCAUAGAGCUGACAAGAGAGAGUAGUGCUCCUGAUUUCAUUGCUUCUUUUUAUAUUAGAUAGUAGUACAUUGUUCUAUUUUUAAAAAUUAUUUACAACAUAUACCAAAUUCUAUCACUCAUAGUCAUUCAUAUGAUAUAGUGAUAAAAAAAUAUGAUUGGUAGAAUCUUUCGUAAUAUUUUAAUUUAUUUUGUAAUUUUUAAAAAUAUCUCUAUUUAAAUAAUAUUUUGUUUCUUACGUGUUUGAGUUUUCUUUUCCCUUUGUUUUUGGCUUCCUCUCUCUCUUUUCUCAUAUUAAAGUAAUGCUCUUGAUUUGUGUGAGAUUGUUUUUCUCUUCCUUUAUUAUUUUGUUUUUUAUUGUGGGGUUAUUUUCUACUUCUUUCUUUUAACAUUUGGUUUUAAGUCCUAUGGUUGAACUUUGGCAAAUUGGAAAUGGUAGCCUCCAAGCACCGUAAAAAAAACAUUAGAUAUUGCUCUUGCUUUUAAAGCAUUAUAUUUCAAGUAACAACACUUACGAUUUAGACGUGGGUAACAUAAAAGUUUUGAGAGAUUAUUCUUUUGUAAUUGGGUCAGGGAGAGAACUGCUUUAUGUGAUUGUUUAAAUUUAUCUCAAUAGAGACUUCAAAUUCCCCAAAUUUAUUAUAUAAGUGAAACGUAAUAAUUAAUUAAUUAGACACGGCAUUGGAUAGUUUAUAUAAAUAAUUAAUAAUAAAGCAGCCACAUUUCUUUGAUCAGAACCAUAUUAUACGUUGUUCAUUGUAAUACGAUUAACAUAUAUAAUAAUUAAUCUCACGAGCAUAUAUGCAUUUAUUCAUAACUUACAAACACCAACUUCAGAAAAUAAAGCCAUUUUAUUUAAUGUUACACAAUAACAUGUGCUUAAUUGUUAGGCUUAGCUUGAGGCUUUCCAUCAACAAUACCAGCCUCACCAGCAAAGCUGCAGCACCUGAUGCAACGGCCGCGAAAGCAUUCGCAACAACCUCGGUUGCAACCGUGGAGGCAUUCCGCAAGGUUCCGAGAAUGAGCUCCUCCAUAACUGUGGCGCUCCACAUUGUCAACUUCACCAGUUUCCAUCGUAGCUUCUUCUGCAAAGUAAAUCAUUGAUAUAAUCAUUAUAUACUACCACAAAUUUGACCUUUAUUGAUAACUAAAAAUAUUAUCAAUGAAGCAGUGUCAACAAAACUUUUGACAUCAACAAAAAUAAUUUUGUUAUCGGCAAAAAUCAACGUCAAAUACAAAUAGUUUCUGUUGAUGUUUAUUGUCCAUCAACUAAUUAAAAAACCUACAUUGAUUUUAAGCUGUAAUUAAAAAUUUCAUUGGCGGUUUGUUUGUCAUAAACCUCAACUAAAUAAAAAAAUUAUUUGUCAUAAGCCCAAGCUGUGGUAUAGUACAUAACACUAAUUGAAGGAAUUAAAAGUAGCGAGUAUACAUCGCAUUGCAGGUUUAAAAAAUGAAACUCACUCAAUUUCGCAUCCCUUGCUGUAACAGUUAUCGCCUCCGAGGAAAAGAGGACGACGGCAAAAAGAAGACCGAGCAAGAUGAAGGACUUGGAACUCAUUCUCUCUCUAUUGAUUAGAGAUAUGAUCAAUUUAAUUUGGAGGUGAUGGGGUGAGAAAGUAUUGUAGGAUUGCAAUUGUAUUUAUAGUAGUGAUGACAUAAAAUUCAUGUCAAGGUGGGACAUCCUUAGUCCCAAUUUUCAAAGGUAGAUAAGUUUUUGUGGAAUAAUUAUAAUGAGCUUAUCUUUAUAAGAAAAGUAGAACAAAGGUUUCUUACCGUGGAGUCUGUUCAAUGGACAGGCACGUCAAAGUAAUAGACUCAGAUUAGAUAAUGUUAAAAAUGUUAAUUGUACAAUUUAACAUUGUUGGGUUCCAUCAACUUUAGUUAUUUCUUUAGGUUAUACAUUCGUAGAAAUCUUUUUGUAUUAAAAUAACAUCAUUUAAUCACAGUUUGGAGGGGCUAAAAAAUAAGUAUAUCAACGGUAGACUCCUGUUCACUAAUAUAUGUACCUGAUCUAUAUUCUCAAGUGUCUAAUAUAUGUACCUGAUCUAUAUUCUCAAGUGUUUUUUAUAUAUAUAUCUAGUUUUUGUAAAUAUUUUUGUUUAUUUUGUUAUAUAUUUGAAAAUGUUAAGCGGAUUUCUUCACCUAUUUUUAGAUAAAAGAAUUUAUUGAAUCACACGCCAAGAUCUAGUCUUAAAACAAUUUAGUUAAAAAUUUCUGAAAUAAAUAAAUAAACGAACGAAAAUAAGAAGUUAAAAGAAAGUUAGGAAAUGAACAACCAAGUAAUAUAAACAUAUAGCGAUCAGGACAGAGAAUAUUUAUUCUAAUAUUACAAAACGGUGUCAUUAGGUUCGAAAGAUGUGUUUUUCAAUCUAAAACAAAAUGGUUAGAAAUUUCAAGUCUUCUUUCUGUGUUAAGGGCAAAUUAAAGAGAAAAAUAAUCUUUGAUCAUAUUAACAAAUAAUUGAAAGAAUAAUGUAUAGUACAUAUGCAUGAUCCAUUAUGUUGCAUGCAUUUCUUAAAUGAAUAAAUAGAAUUUUGAAAUGUAAAAAAAUGAUGAGAGAUCAGACAAAGAUAUAUCCAACUCUUCAAAAAAUGGUUUUGUUUUUGGAACUUCUGUUCUAUAGUUGGGAAAAAGAUCAGUCCGUGGAUGGAGAAUUAACAGGAGCAGCUUCAACACACGCACGAGGAUUUUGCUUUCCAGUAAUGAUGGGAAUCACAUUUCUACACUGAGACGUAAUCCGUCCUUGAGUUCCGAUGUAAGCGAGGUCAAUAUCUGUAACUUCCACACCUUCACACGAAAAGACUGUGCUACAAAUAAAUUUAACAGCAACGAAAGUAGCAGAAGUGCCUCUGAUAUUCUUGAAACUAACGUUGUUGAUCUUAAUUUUUGAUGGAAUCUGAACAAAUGUAUACAUAAAGAAAACCAAAAAUUAAAUCAGGUUAGUUUUGCAUUUGUUAUAUAUAAGAAAAAAUAUUCCUUAAUUGAAGUUAAUUAAUUAAUUAGUUGAAAUUUAUGAAUAAGGAAUAAUUUCAAUACAUAUACCUUUUUGUUGCAUUGAUUAGAUGGACAAUAUUCUUGGUCAAUAAUCACAGGAUUGCUAACAUUAACCAUUUCAAUAUCUUCAAAAUGCAAGUCAGAGGCUGUGUAUGCAACUGCACAAUCUGGCCAUGUCUUGAUUCUAACACCAUUUGAAGUAUUGAUAAGUUUACAUGAUUUCACUGUAACUCCUGCCACCUCUUUCUCCUUGGUGUACUUGCCUAAACUUCCUAUACUUAUGCCAUGACCUGGUCCGCAAGUUACAUUAGUAAUAGUUAUUUGCUUGUUGCUGUCUCCAACAGAUAUACAAUCAUCUCCGGUUGAGAUACGUGUAUUGAAAAUGUUAAUCACUUCUGAACUGCUCACAUGAAUUCCAUCGGUGUUGGGACUAUUCUCUGGUGCAAUAAUUGUCACAUUUUGAAAAGUAACAUUCUUGCAACCCAAAAGAUUGAAGUGAAAAUUCUUACUAUCCAACGAAGUUAUGUCCUUCACCAUUGAAUUGGUUACGAAACUGAACUUCACAUUCUUACAAAUUUAACCCCGGCCCGCCCCACAAAAAGAAAAGGUAUCCGAGUUAAAAACAAUGCAUUAUGUUAAUCGACAAAAUUAUAUAAUCAACGAGAUUAAAAAGAAAGAAGCUAAUACAAUUAGAGAAUUAAUUUACCAUAGGAAGUUUAGUGCAUAUUUUCUUCAGGUGACAAUCAUUCUUUUCCCAACCUUUUUCUCCUUGACCAUCAAAAGCACCUGUGCCUGACAAUGUCAAUUGAUCGAUAUAUUGAAAAAGAACCAACCCAUCUCCUAUUGGAUCUGGAUGAGCUUGUAAUGUUCCUUCCAUCCGAACCUCAAUAGUACUUUUGCAAGGACCAUGGAGAAUGGAUUGGUUUAGAUGGUAAACUCCCAUUGGAAUCAACAAUUUACUAGAAUAGGUCGAUGCACAUGCAUCCUUCCAUGCAUUUGCCAAAGCCUAUAAAUUGUGAAUCAUUUGAUUAAACAAAAAAAAAAAUACAUAAAGUACGAAAUUUAUCAAGUUAAUAUAUAUUUACCUGAGUAAUAUCAGUAUUAGGUUUGGCACCAUAUGUAGUGAUAUCAAAAAUGGAUUGACCUUUUGCAGUUGAUGCCAACAUUAACAACAAAUGUAAUAGUAAUGUCAUAAUGUUUGACCUCAAUCCCAUCAUUUUUAUUUAUUGCCUUCUGCUUUUUGCUUAUGAUCUUCUCUUUAUUCUAAUUGUUAAUUAACUAUGAAAAUGGAAUGAAUGAUUCAAAUAUAUGUGCAGUCAUUCAACCCUUCUUUAUACUUUCCAAAAAAAUUUGGUUGCUAAAUUUGAAAAUGAUCGUUGAAAUAUUGAAGUUAAACCAUUAGCUGUGUGUCAUAAAAUUAGCCAUUUCAUGACAAUUGGAAUUUAUUAAUCAUUCCCUCAAUUCAAUCAAAUUUCUGUUCGAGAACAACUCAAAAAAGGAAGAAUUGAGAAUUUUGGUGAAAAAAGUAUUAGAAAUUUUCACUUUAUUUUUCUCAUUCAUAACUCCUAAUAAGUAGAUAGGUCCACAUGUUUCAUGUUACGUAGAUAUAUUUAUUUCAAUGCUUAUUAAAUUUUGAUGGUGAAAUUCAAACUUUUAAUUAAAUUAAUCAUUCAGUUAUAUUUAUUUACUAUAAAUUGAGUGCGAGGAUUUGAACUAAGUUUUCUUAGUUCUCAAAUAUUUAUGAGUGUUAAUAUUCAUAAGUGUGGAUUGAGGUAAGCAUAUGCUAAAUGAAGUUUAAAAUAUUACUUUUCUGUACAUGUGGUAAUAAAAUAAUAAUAAAAUAUCACCAAAAGUAAAUAAAUAUCUAAUCGAGAUCGAUAUAUUAUUGAUACUUUUAUUGACAUACUCAUAAGAUUGAGAAAUACCAGCAUCUUCAUUUACAUUGACAUCUAUGUGACUAGUCAAUUUUAACAAGAACUUUUAAAAUAUAAACAAAAUUAUAUCAUAAAACUAAAUGAAAAAAUUUUGUUUUAAAUGACAAAAUGGUUAAAUAUAUAAUAUUUAUAAAUAUAGCAAAAUUUUACUUUUAAUUUAUGAUAAGUAGAUGUAAACGUAGAUGGUAGACAUCUCUCUAUUGCUGUAGUCUCUAUUGCAUUUCUAUUAAAGUUAUGGAAAUAAAACCGUAAUUACACUAAAUCAAAAUAUGAUGGUAGAUAUUAUAAAAAUCUGAUAAAAAGCAGAUCUUUGCAAUAACAUACUAAAACCCAAACAUGGGGAAAAGAAAAACUACAGAAGCCACUCCUUCCAUUCCCCAUGAAUUUAUUUCUCAAACUUCCACACUUCACACAUUUCAUCAAACACAAACUUUUUACUUUUUUUAUUAUUUCAUCCCAUAUUCCACACCUUGUCUUAUGGUUUUGCACCCUCUACUACUUCACCAGCGUACCUGCAGCACCUGUACACGCAUGGACCAUAUGUGCAACCUCUGCCGUAGCCACCACUAUAGCCACCAAGACCGAAGUCAUCACGACCAUAGCCACCACGAUGCUAACCACCACCACCGCUGUAGAUUUUGUCGUUCCGUCCUCCAUACUUAGCAUCCUCUACGCCAUUGGUUUCCACUGUGGCCUCUGCAAUGAAGGCGAGAAGAAGGCCGAGGAAAACAAAGGCUUUUGAACUCAUGUUUGUGUUUAAUAAGAGAUUGCUUUUGGGAGAUAUGGAUGAGAAAGAUUUGAAUUCUUAUGGUAUUUAUUGGUACAUAAAAGAGAAAGGGAGAUGAGAAUAUUGAGACAAUUGCAAUUAAAGACUGGCCCGUAAUUUAGUUGGGCAUUAGAUGAACUGAUUGAGAAGUAUUCUGAAAUGAAGAAGGAAAUUAAAAUUUGAGUCAGCUCUCUUAAAUAAUCUUUAUCGUUUAAAUGAUUUGUAAUUAGUCAAACUCUUUAGUAGUGUGACUGUAUCAAACUCCAAGAGCUUCUUUUAGCCAAUUAUCAAUAAUAAUAAUAAAUAUAAUUCUGGAAAAACAAUUUCUAGCAUGCUUUCAUUUUCUAUUCCUAAACUUGGUAAACAAAAUUCUUUGUCUUAAAAAUUAAAACUAAUAUUUUCAUAAAUUAUUUAGCAAAGUUGUUGGAAUAUGGACUGGUUUAUGAUUGUACCAAACAGCAAAAACAAGUUACAAACUACGAACCCAACUAUAUCGUUUAGAAACUGAGAGACCCACGUGGCGGAUGUUGCCUCACCCAAAAGCCACCGGAAAUUGCCUUCACUGGAGACCCACAUGUCGAACAACCAACUGCAAACCCCAAGAACAACCACGGCUGAAACAACCUCUCUGAUGGCUCGAACCCACUGCUAAACCAGCCGCCACACCGCGCGAAAUCCGCCGGUAGAACAUGGAAACUCGCCGACGUUAAAGCUCAGUCAGACGCCGUACUGCCCGAAAAACGAGACCGAAACGCGGAUGCUAAAGCUCUCUCCUCACCGGAAAACGCCCGACCCGACGAAGAACCUCAGAAUCUCCGUCGCGUGGCCGUCCGGUAAACGCCAUCAACGUCAACCCGUUCACCGUCGGCCCCUGCUCUUCUCUCUACUGUGUUUGUAGAAGAAACUUCAACUUUCCUCUCUCUCUAUUCUUGUGUAUUGCGGCAACCCCUCACCUCUCUCCUUUUCUUUUCACUGUAUUAAAAAUGGCAAGUGAUGUGAAUAAUUGCAAAAAUGUGUUCUUGUUAUUCCGCCAUCAACAAAACUAAAAAAACUUUGUUUAUUAAGAAAAUAAAUAAUCCACGUUGUUUAUUUCUUACAUUCUUUCAUAUUUCUUUAAUAAAAUAAGAGAACUUUUCUUUAUGUAUCACGGUGAAGAUAGAUAUUGUAUUAAGAAAAAUAUAUUUCUUAAUGAUCAUUUAUCAUGACCAUCAAGAAAUUAAAAAAUUGUGUUCCAAACCCUACAUCUCUCUUAAUGCAUCCUCUUUCACAAAUACUUCCGUUCCAAAAUAAUUACAGUCUGAGAAAAGUUUAGAGAGUAAAAACAAUUUCUCUCUCAAACAUUAAACCAAUAUAUAUAAAUGAUCCAUACAUAUAUAUAUGUGGAAAGUUCAAUAUGAAAUAUGUUAACAGUAUUGGUAAAAAUACUAUAUAUGGAUGGUCGUAAAAGAAAUACGUACUUUUUAAAAGUUGAACUUCCUCUUCAUCUCUGAUUGGAGAUAUUUGUUGAAAACUCCAAUAACACCUCAAAAUAAUAAUAGUAAUAAUUAUUACUAUUAUUAUUAUUACUAUUAUUGCGUAGGAUAGAACACCAUGAAAUGUUGAUAAAUUUAUUUAAUUGUGUCCUUGUCACUUGUCAGUACCACCAUAAACUUUAGAUAAUGCAGGCUGAGCAAACAUUUUUUUACUUUCUUUUCUCAUUUGUAUGCAAAAUAUAUUGCCACCAUAUAUCGUUUUGACUAAAGACGAAAGAAAGCGUGUAUACCUUAACUAUUAAAAUUUAUGUUCAAGUUAUGGAAAUAAAACCCUUAAUUACACAAAAUGAAAAUAUGUUUGUUGAUAUUAUAAAAUUUUACAAAAACCAAAUCUUUGCAAUAACAUACUAAAACCCAAACAUGGGGAAAAAGAAAAACUACAGAACCCACUCCUUCCAUUCCCCAUCUAUUUAUUUCUCAAACUUCUACCGUUCACACAUUUAACCAAACACACAAACUUUAAACCUUUUUAUUAUUUCAUCCCAUUCUACACCUUCUCUUAGGGUUUUGCACCCUCUACCACUUCACCAGCGUAGCUGCAGCACUUGUGCCCACAUCGACCAUAUCGGCAACCUCUGCCGUAGCCACCACGGCCACCACCAUAGCCUCCACGGCCACCGUAAUGACCACGACCAUACCCACCACGACCACCGCCAUAGCCUCUGUCGUACCCACCGCCAUAGCCUCUGUCGUACCCUCCACCAUAGCCUCUGUCGUACCCUCCACCAUAGCCUCUGUCGUACCCACCUCUUCCAUACUUGGCAUCCUCUACGCCAUUGGUUUCCACUGUGACCUCUGCAAUGUUAUAUUUAAAAUUAAUCCUUAACUUUACGAAAAUGUUAUAUAAAAUCAAAAUCUGUAUAUAAAGAUGUUAAAUAAUGAGUAUAUAUAUUUUACAUGAGUUUUUUCUUAAUAUUCGUGUCUGUUCGGAGUUAGUUUAUGUGUACCUAAACUAAGUUUACCGAACAAAUUUGGAUGUGAAAGGAACAAGCACAAAGAAUAUUAAAUCAUCAAUAGAAGACUACUAUGCAUUCAACUUCUUAGAUGACUUAAAAUUUAUUAUAACAUAAAACUCACCGUUGUCAGUCUUGGAGGAGGUCUCCGCAAGGUCCCUUGCAGCCACUUCAGAGGAGAGGAGAAGAACGAAGGCGAGAAGAAGGCCAAGGAAAACAAAGGCUUUGGAACUCAUAUUUGUGUGUAUUGUAAGAGAUUGGUUUUGGGGGAGAGGGAUGAGAAAGAUUUGCAUUCUUAUGGAGGUAUUUAUAGGUCCAUAAAAGGGAAAGUGAGAUGAGAAUUGAGACAAUGGCAAUGGCAAUUAAAGACUGGCCCAUAAUUUGGUUGGGUGUUAGAUGAACUGAUUGAGAAGUAUUUUGAAAUGAAGAAGAAAAUUUGAGUCAGCUCUCUUCAAAAAUCUUUAUCUUUUAAAUGAUUUGUAAUCAGUCAAACUCUUUAGUAGUGUGACUGUAUCAAACUCCAAGAGCUUCUUCUAUCCAAUUAUCAAUAAUAAUAAUAUAAUUAUGGAAAAACAAUUUGUAGCAUGCUUUCAUUUUCUAUUUCCUAAACUUGGUAAACAAAGUUAUUUGUCUUAAAAAUUAAAACUAAUAUUUUUCAUAAAUUACUUACCAAAAUCUAUCAAGUAAAUACUGUAGGUUAGUUAUUUAGGGUUCAUUUUUUUCACCUUGUGUUUUUUCUUAAAAAAAUUGAUGUUUAAUUAGAUUUUUUUUUCUAUUAAUGAUUGAUUUGUUUUGGUAUAUCAUUUUCGAUCCAAUAUAACAAAAUGAACAAAAUAUGUGACAUUUUUUAAAAUAAAAAAUAAAUUAAAAUAUUUACAAAGUAUAACAAAAUUUUAAAUUCUAUCAAUGAUAGAAACUGAUAUGCUACUAUCACUGUCUAUCCAUCUCACUAAUAGAAACAUGUUAAUGUCUAUCAAUGUCUAUUAUUGAUAAAAUAUGAAAAUCGUACUAUUUGUUGUAAAUAUUUUGUCAAAUUUACUAUUUUUUACCAUUCUCUCUUAAAAAAAUAUUUAUAAAUACAGUAAAUUUCAAAAUCUAUCAAAGAAAUUGGUAGAAAUAUUUAUAUAGUAUAUGUGAUAUAAAUAAACACUAAUAUGAUUGAAGUUUUUUGUGUCUACUAAUAUCUAUAUUUUUUAUAUUUCUAAAUUUGGCUAUAUUUAUAAAUAUUUUCAAGAAUUUUAGUUUAUACAUUUUCAAAUGGUUUAUCUUAUAUAAAAUUUGAAUAGACAAACAUAAAAUAAAGCACAGCACAAUAAAGAAAACGUUAUUGAAUAGCUUCCACUGAACCCAAUUUGCAAAUAUCAUUGAUAUUUGUAAUAUUCUUUUAAUGCUAUGUUUUCUUACAAGAUAACGAGAGGAUAUUUUUAUAUUUAUGUGAAACUCAUCAACUUAUAUGAAAAUGUCAAAACAACAUUUAUUUAUUUCAUACUCUUCAACUUGGUGUCUGUCAUUCUUUAAAUAGAAUUUUCAAAGCUCAUAAAAAUCUCUCGAAAUUUGAGAAGAUAUCAACGCCCUUACGGAUCAUUGGACAAGCAUAUCUCCUCUCUUCAAAAAUUAUUUUGAUAGCUCUAUUGCUCUAAGUAUUUAUGCUUUUGUUUAAUUGUACUGACUUUGGGUCUUUCUUGGACUUUCCUCUAACCCUUGCUUUUGUUUUCCCUUCUUUCCAUAUUAUCUAUUAUAUAUUAAUGAAGCAUGAAUGAUGAUGAUGCUACGAAGGUACUGUUCACAUAGUGGAGAUGAUGAGAUGUCUUAGUGCAUCUAUUGACCUAUCUCGUAUCUUUUUUAAAAAAAAAAAAACAUUUAUAUAUUUCGUAUACUAUAAUUUUGCAAUAAAUUUAAGAGACCUUUAUAAAACUAACUCCCAAACUAUGCGGGGUAGUGAUAGUUGUGAAACCUAUUUCUAAUUUGAGUAUAGAAAGUAAAAUUUGGUUAAGUAUUUUGAAAAUUUGUAUUUUGGAUAAGAGGAGACAUUUUGAAAUAAGACUUUGCGAUAAGAAGUAUGUGUUUGAAUCAAUCCACAGAAAUGAUUAAGUGAUAAAAUCUUUUAUGGUUAAGUAUAAGUUUUGUUAUUAAGAAGUUAAUUCACGAGGGAGUUUUGAGAAAAGAAUGAUUUGCAAUAGGACCUAUAAACACUUUCAAUAGAAAGAGUCUUCACGAGAAAAUGUUGAAGUUAUUCGUAGAAUGGAAAUAGGCGAGAAGUAAGGUCUGGCAAAGAAAACGUCUAUCUGAUUUGACAGGGGUUAAUGUGUAAGAUUAAAGGUUUAAGCAUGACUGAGUUAAAUAUUAAAUUUACAUGUGUAAAGUUUUAAUCAGGAACCAGCGAACUUAAAAGAGUUUAAGCAUGACUAAGUUAGUUUAAGAGCUAUGUAAAUAAAGGACCUAGUCAUUAAGUAAGCACAUAGAUUUUAUUAAAAAAAAAUUACUAAAAUGUUGUUGUUUUGCUUGACGAGAAAAAGAAAAAAAAAAACAAAGUGUUAAGUGCUACGAUGUGUUUCACAAGAAGGCUCCACAAAAGAAAAGGAAGAGAAGGAUUUUUGAUAAAGUGUGGGAAUGUUUUCUCUUAAAUGAAUUAAUUAUGUUAAAAAAUUUAUUAUAAUUUCUCUUUACUUAUUUAAAAGAAGAAUUCCAAUGAUAAGUGUUUCAAAUGAAAUUUAUAUCAAAAGUCUAUAUGUUUUCAAGUAUGAUUUAUAAUGUUAAAGUUGUUUUCUUGAGAUGAUGCUAACUUUUAUGUGCACAUAAAGAGUCAAGGUUACUAUGGGGUGUACAAGGCUACAUGGUGAUAAGAAGCUGGUUUAUGCUUUGAAAUGAGCGUAUAAAGCUUAGUUGGCCUGAGCAACAAGGACAAUCUGUAUGUUUUCGGAUGUUGUUGAUACAACAGUCUAAAUGUAGGGUAAUGAGACCAAACGUAGAAAACGAUUCGAGAUCCUUGAUGAAAAGUAUAAUUGACUAAUGGGUGUUAUUGUGAAAUGAAUCUUGAUGUGAUUCACAAGUUGAACUAAUUUUAUUGUAAAAAUGAUUAUAUACGUUUUGAUAUGUUUUGCCAAAUGAAGUGUUUAUUGAUAAACUGAUUUGUGUUGAAAUUUAUGAUUUGACGAAAAACAUUUUCAAAGAGCAUUGCAAAAAGGAUUUCAUUAAAACCUCACUAAAUCUUUUAAACUUGCAUUUUAAAUUUUAUCUUCCAAGAUUUAGCAUUUAGGCCAAUUAAAGAAGAAGGUUGAAGGGCUUGCGGCAAGUUGAGAAAGCCACGAGGCGUUAAAGAGCUUUGAUCGAUAAAUGUUAAUUAUUUGAUCAAAAUGUUGUAAUUGUUUGUUCAUACCAAACGCCUGUUAUUAAUAUAUUAAAGUGUGUGUUUCAGGUUAUGUUACUUAUUGUACUUGGCAUUUAAAGUUGAUUUUCGCUACGUUUUGAGUUUCACUUCAUAGUUUGAAAGGAGUUGAGAAUAAGCUAGGCAGUAAGACUAAUUGUAAAGUUUAAUUAAAGUUAAAUCUUGUAAAGUUUAAAGUUAAAUCAUGUAAAGUUUAAAGUUAAAUCACGUCCUAUCCGCACAACUUCCUGCAAUUUUGUUGUCGGAACAGAGUGUGACAAUAGCGAUGCACCUAAACUAAAUUUACUAUUUUGGUUGUUACAGUGGUCGAUAUGAAUAUAGAUCAAUGGAAAGAAGAAUAUCAACAUCCUCUCUAAAACUUAAAUAUAUUAAUCUAAAAUUUUCAUUUUUAUGUUAAAUUGAGAAGAAGAAGAAAAAAAAAAGAAACGAAAGCAAAAGUAUUAGGUAAUAAAAAUAUUUUGAAGAUGAAAAAAAUUUGAAGUACUCUUGAAAGCAUGAAUAAAUAAAAUUUGGUUCCACUUGUAUUGUUGAAUAUCCUCUUGUUCCUUUCCAACCAAAUGUUCCAGAUAACCCCAUCAACAGACUGUAAUUGUUGAUUUCAUAACACACAAACUUGAAAUCAACAAUUAAGUAAUAGAAGACCGUAAAGAUCGACACACAGAUAAAACAUGGUUCACUAACAGUGUAUUAGCAACUACAUCCACAAACAAAGGAAGAAAAAAUAUGGUUAGGAGAGAGUGUUUUCUAAUACAAAUGUAGCUGGAUAGAGUGCAUCCAAUGAAAUUCUCAUUGUUUUGGUUGCAGACCGAGCACGCCAACUUGGAUUAAGGCAGUGAUUUGGGAGGCUAUUUAGCAGAAUAAUCUCCACAGUGUUUCCCGGGUAGAAUUUAGCAUAAGAAAAAAUUUCACUUCUUAAUUAGAAUGGGAGAUUUUUACAAAUUAUUAAAGAUUGUCAGGACUAAGAUUUUCUAUCUUUGGAAGAUCAUUUCCUCUUUCCUCGUUAGGCUUAGGGAAAGAUGCUUUGACAUUAUCCCAUAUGCUAAUGUCCCUAUCCCGGAGGGGUCCUCUAGGCUUAAUAUCCCAACCAAUCUUUAAUCGAGCUAUUUGCGCCAAGGGAUGAAGCAAAAAGCUUGGGGAAGCCAAAGGAGAGAGGACCGUGUUGGUUCAAUUUUUUAUGCCAAAAAAGAAAGAGAAAGAAGAGAGCAAGAUGAUUAUACUAAAAAAGAAUUGCCACAGUUUCUAUUUUAAUUAUUAUCCCUGCAUAACUCUUUCACAUAUAUAUUUAUAUCCAUAGGUUGUACACAAGUGAAACUAUCCUCAAAUUUAUAUGCUAUUUAUAUAAUAUAUAUAUAUAAAACUAUAAUAGUAUACUAUAGUCAUGUAGUUCAAACUUCGUUUAUUACCUUUUUAUUUUAAAAAUAUUUUAUUAAUAGUAAAGUUCCUGUGAACAUAAAUUUCUCCAUCAUCUGCUCCUACUUGUAUAUAUCAUCUUUAAUUAAUUAUCAUUUAGUGUCCACAUGUACAGUUUAAUUCCCAAAUAGUGUUCAACAAAACGAAGUAUUAGAAAUUUUCACUUUAUUUUUCUCAUUCAUAACUCCUAAUAAGUAGAUAGGUCCACAUGUUUCAUGUUACAUCUAUUUAUUUUAAUGCGUAUUAAUUUUUGGUGGUGAAAUUCAAACUUUUAAUUAAAUUAAUUAUCUCAGUCAUGUUUAUUUACUAUAAAUAUCACUAUAAAGAUCAAUUGAGCUAAGCAUGCUUAAUAAAGUUUAAAAAAUUACUCUUCUAUACACGUGUGGCAAUAAAGAUAACAAAAUAUCACUAAAUGUAAAUAAAUGUUUGGCAAGUUUUAUUAUUUUUAUAACUUCUUUAGAAAUAUUCAAUCGAUAUGGAUAUGAUAUUGAUUUUUGUUUUAUAAAUUCGUGAAAUUGAGAAAUAUAAGCAUUUUCAUCAACAUUCGCAUCCUAGACAUUACUCCUAUAUGACUAAUGAAUUUGAACUAGCGAAACUAAUUCAUAAAACUAAAUGAACAAAUUUUAAAAAAUUUUAUUUAAAAUAACAAAUAUGAUAGAACGUAUAAUAUUUACAAAUGUAACGACAAAAUUUUACUUUCAGAUCGUGAAGGUUGUGGUAAACCUGAUAGACAUCAUAUAUUAUUUUAGGCGUUAUAUUGUAUUGAUAAUAAAAGUAAAAUUUUAUUCUAUUUAUAAAUAUUUAUAAUAAUUUUUUAUAUUCAAAACAAUUCAAAAAAUUAAGUUGGCCUAAAAUUUCUAUUUUCAAUAUUUAUGGCCAUAACAGUUAUUUAAGUGAUCGGACUCCAUGAGUUCGUAAAAUUUAAAUGAGUUAGGCAAACAAGUAUUAAUUUGUAAUUUAUUUCUUUUUCUUAAUUGCAUUUUCUUGUUUUUGACAUGUUUAUUUAUUUUUAAUCUAAGUUGAAUGAUAUGGUAUUAAAUUUGUCUUUCAUCCGUUAAUUUUUCUUCUUUUCUUAACAUACCUUCCAGUUAUUGUCGCUCCAAUCAUCCUCAUCUUUGUCUCCGUCCCUAGGCCCAGGCAUCUCCCUCAAUGCAUCCUCUAUCACAAAUAGGUUCCAAAAUAAUUACAGUCUAAGAAAAGUUCAUAGAGUAACAACAAUUUCUCUCUCAAACAUUAAACCAAUAUAUAUAUAUAUAUAUAUAUACUAGAAAGAACACGUGUUUUGUACGUGAAAAGUGUAAUUUUAAAUCUUAAAUUUAAUUUUAGUGUCACAAGUUAAAAACUAAUUAUAAACAAUAUCUUUAGUUUAUAUAUAUAUAUAUGCUAUUAUUAAAUUCAAAUCUACCAAUAAUAAGGUGACCAGAUUGGACAAUUAGAUCUUAACCAGAGAAUAUAAAGGACCUAUAUAACAAUAUAAGUUUAUGAAAUAUACAACUAUAUAACUACAAAAUAUUAUAUAAACAAGGAGAGAAAAUUAGUGAGCAACCAUAAUAUAACAUGUACUUUUUUUUCAUUGAAAAUAAAUUAAAAAAUAAGAAAAUAAAAAGAGAUCAAAUGAUGGAUAAAGAAGUCUCUCCAAUCCAAAAUAUAAUGCUAAAAGACGACCAAAAUUUAAUUAAUAGAUUAUAGAUACAUAAAUGAAAUAAAAUUAUAGUGCAUAGUAAGUAUUGUAGAAAUAUUGCUUAUUCGAGACAUAGUUGACAUCGUUGGAGGCCUCCUUGGAUUCUCUAUACAUUUGUUGAAAAACACAGAAAUUCUCCUUGUUUUACACCAAAUAAUUAUUCUCCUAUACGUGGAUUUAUUUGAUUGCUCACAAUUUCAUUAGAUUUUAUUUUAUAUAAAAAUACACAGAAAGAAAAUGAUUGGGAACGUGAACAUGAGUCACAAAGAAGAUGAGAGAGAAUGUGUGAGUGAUAGAAGGGAAGAAGAAAAUUUUAUAUAGCUUUAAAAUUGAGCUAAUGAAUAAUAAUAAUAAUAAUAAUAAUAAUAACAACAACGACAAUUAUUAUUACUAUUAUUGCAUAGAAUAGGAGAGACCAUGAAAUAUAGAUAAAUUUAUUUAGUUGUGGUUGCCAUUUUGAGUACCACCGUAAACUUUGGAUAUUGCAGGCAAGGUGGUUAAUAGAAUUAAGAUUUUAUUAUAUGUAGGUAAAUAUUUUCACCGAUUUUAAUAUUUAGAUGUUUUCUUUUAUUAUUAUUAUUAUUUAGUAUGAGUGAUCAUGUGAGUUUUUUUCUUUCUUUCUUUUUUCUAACGAAAUAUAUUGAAGAUUUUAACUAAAGAUGAAAGAAUGUGUGUAUACUAAAAAUAAGUGAGACGAUCAAUAAUAUCUGAAAGUAAUUAACUGAGAGAAUAGCUAAAGAAACAGACAAAACAAAUAAUACAGAAGACUUUGUUAGCCUAAUUUGACGAAUACCACCUAUAUCUGGAAGCUUCUUAGCUCAUAUAAGAAAUAUUAUUAUAUAAGAUUUAAAUGAGCAAGGAAAACACUUUUAAGUUAUUACAAAAACUUAAUUAAAGACCGACUUUCAUUGAAUUUGUGUUUGAAUCUUUUUGAAGAUAAACUCAAACUCCCUUGAAUUCAUUCACCACAGUUCAACUAUUUCAGUCUUCUUUCAUAUUUCUUAUCAACAGGUGCAGCGUAAAAACCACUUGCAGAACUUCAAUAAUAUUCCAUCUUCAUAUAAAGAAUGCAAUUCGACAACCUUCACAAACAAUAAUUUGAUCUUCGAAAGAGAACUUCUUUGAAAUCAAUUUUCUAUCAAUUUGCACGUCGAACUAAGCCAAUAUAGUUUAAUUAUUUAAAGAUCGAUAUAAUAUAUUUCCGGUAACUUCUUUAUGGAGAGAUAUAGAUAAAAGAUUCAUGUUAGGAAAGAAAAAUAUUUUAUCUUUAAAUAAUAUCCUAAUCUUUAAAUAAGGAAGUUAAUAAUAAAAAGAAAUUUAUUGGUGUUGUUGACAAAAAUAUCAACAUAUACGUUAACUAUUAAAAUUUAUGUUCAAGUUAUGGAAAUAAAAGCGUUAAUUACAGGAAAUGAAAAUAUGUUUGGUGAUAUUAUAAAAUUAAAAUUUGCAAAAGCAAAUGUUUGAAAUAACAUACUAAAACAAACCCAAACAUGGGGAAAAGAAAAACUACAGAACCCACUCCUUCCAUUCCCCAUCUAUUUAUUUCUCAAACUUCUACCGUUCACACAUUUAACCAAACACACAAACUUUAAACCUUUUUAUUAUUUCAUCCCAUUCUACACCUUCUCUUAGGGUUUUGCACCCUCUACCACUUCACCAGCGUAGCUGCAGCACUUGUGCCCACAUCGACCAUAUCGGCAACCUCUGCCGUAGCCACCACGGCCACCACCAUAGCCUCCACGGCCACCGUAAUGACCACGACCAUACCCACCACGACCACCGCCAUAGCCUCUGUCGUGCCCUCCGCCAUAGCCUCUGUCAUACCCUCCUCUUCCAUACUUGGCAUCCUCUACGCCAUUGGUUUCCACC